AUUGAACGCUGGCGGCAGGCCUAACACAUGCAAGUCGAGCGAGCGGCGGACGGGUGAGUAAUGUCUGGGAAACUGCCUGAUGGAGGGGGAUAACUACUGGAAACGGUAGCUAAUACCGCAUACCAUCAGAUGUGCCCAGAUGGGAUUGGCUAGUAGGUGGGGUAACGGCUCACCUAGGCGACGAUCCCUAGCUGGUCUGAGAGGAUGACCAGCCAUAUGGGAACUGAGACCGGGCCCAGACUGCUACGGGAGGAAACAGUGGGGAAUAUUGCACAAUGGGCGCAAGCCUUAUGCAGCCAUGCCGCUUGUGUGAAGAAGGGCUACGGGUUGACAAGUACUUUCCGGGUGGCGGCGUUACCCGCAGAAGAAGUACCGGCUAACUCCGUGCCAGCAGCCGCGGUAAUUC
rnacentral:rRNA from 1 species